rnacentral:rRNA from 1 species
AGAGUUUGAUCCUGGCUCAGGACGAACGCUGGCGGCGUGCUUAACACAUGCAAGUCACGGGGGGUGGCAAUACCAACCGGCGAACGGGUGCGCAACACGUGAGCAACCUACCGAUUUGAGGGGGAUAGCCGGCCCAACGGCCGGGUAAUACCGCAUACGCUCGUAAGGCCUCCUGGUCUAACGAGGAAACCUCCGGGGCAGAUCGAGGGGCUCGCGGCCUAUCAGCUAGUUGGCGAGGUCAUGGCUCACCAAGGCGACGACGGGUAGCUGGUCUGAGAGGAUGGCCAGCCACAUUGGGGCUGAGAAACGGCCCAGACUCCUACGGGAGGCAGCAGUGGGGAAUCUUGCGCAAUGGGCGAAAGCCUGACGCAGCGACGCCGCGUGGGGGAUGAAGGGUUUCGGCUUGUAAACCCCUGUUGCCCGGGACGAAACGCCUUUUUCGAGAGGCUUGACGGUACCGGGUGAGGAAGCACCGGCUAACUCCGUGCCAGCAGCCGCGGUAAUACGGAGGGUGCGAGCGUUGUCCGGAAUCACUGGGCGUAAAGGGCGCGUAGGUGGCGCGACAAGUCAACGGUGAAAGCUCGGCGCUCAACGCCGAGUCGGCCGUCGAUACUGUCGGGCUUGAGCACUGUAGAGGCUAAUGGAAUUCCGGGUGUAGCGGUGGAAUGCGUAGAGAUCCGGAAGAACACCGGUGGCGAAGGCGGUUAGCUGGGCAGUUGCUGACACUGAGGCGCGACAGCGUGGGGAGCAAACAGGAUUAGAUACCCUGGUAGUCCACGCCGUAAACGAUGGGCGCUAGGUGCUUGGGGGAGCGACCCCCUGAGUGCCGACGCUAACGCAUUAAGUGCCCCGCCUGGGGAGUACGGCCGCAAGGCUGAAACUCAAAGGAAUUGACGGGGGCCCGCACAAGCGGUGGAGCAUGUGGUUUAAUUCGACGCAACGCGAAGAACCUUACCUAGGCUUGACAUACACGGGAAACUUCUCAGAAACGAGAGGCCCUCUUCGGAGCCCGUGCACAGGUGCUGCAUGGCUGUCGUCAGCUCGUGUCGUGAGAUGUUGGGUUAAGUCCCGCAACGAGCGCAACCC